rnacentral:rRNA from 1 species
CGAACAGACAAGGAGCUUGCUCCUUUGACGUUAGCGGCGGACGGGUGAGUAACACGUGGGUAACCUACCUAUAAGACUGGGAUAACUUCGGGAAACCGGAGCUAAUACCGGAUAAUAUUUCGAACCGCAUGGUUCGAUAGUGAAAGAUGGUUUUGCUAUCACUUAUAGAUGGACCCGCGCCGUAUUAGCUAGUUGGUAAGGUAACGGCUUACCAAGGCGACGAUACGUAGCCGACCUGAGAGGGUGAUCGGCCACACUGGAACUGAGACACGGUCCAGACUCCUACGGGAGGCAGCAGUAGGGAAUCUUCCGCAAUGGGCGAAAGCCUGACGGAGCAACGCCGCGUGAGUGAUGAAGGUCUUCGGAUCGUAAAACUCUGUUAUUAGGGAAGAACAUACGUGUAAGUAACUAUGCACGUCUUGACGGUACCUAAUCAGAAAGCCACGGCUAACUACGUGCCAGCAGCCGCGGUAAUACGUAGGUGGCAAGCGUUAUCCGGAAUUAUUGGGCGUAAAGCGCGCGUAGGCGGUUUUUUAAGUCUGAUGUGAAA